ACUCAAAUGAAUAGACGGGGGCCCGCACAAGCGGUGGAUCAUGUGGUUUAAUUCGAAGCAACGCGAAGAACCUUACCUGGGUUUGACAUCCUCUGACAUCCAUAGAGAUAUGGCUUUCGUAGCAAUACGACAGAGAGACAGGUGCUGCAUGGCUGUCGUCAGCUCGUGGGGUGACCUGUUGGGUUAAGUCCCGCAACGAGCGCAACCCUUGUCUUUAGUUGCCAGCAUUAAGUUGGGCACUCUAGAGAGACUGCCGUGGUUAACACGGAGGAAGGUGGGGAUGACGUCAAGUCCUCAUGGCCCUUAUACCCAGGGCGACACACGUGAUACAAUGGCCGGUACAGAGGGCCGCGAAGUGGCAACACGGAGCAAAUCCCAAAAAGCCGGUCUCAGUUCGGAUUGGAGUCUGCAAUUCGACUCCAUGAAGGCGGAAUCGCUAGUAAUCGCGGAUCAGCACGCCGCGGUGAAUACGUUCCCGGGCCUUGUACACACCGCCCGU
rnacentral:rRNA from 1 species